GCCGGGCCGGCCCGGAGCGUCGCAGCACCCGAGCCGGCGGCGAGGCGCUGCGACCGCGGAGGGUCGGGCGGGAGCGGGGGUCCGAGGGCAGCAACAGGAAUCCGCGCUGGCCCGGGCGCCCUAAUAAAUCAGAGCGGGAGGGCGGGCGCGUGGACGGCGGAGCGGCUGGGGACCGCGGCUGGGCGGCGGGGCGGCCGGGACAGGGCAGGGGCCUCGGCCCGGAACAAAGGCCGCACGCCCGGUUGCUUUGGGGGCGCAUGUUUCGGUAGCAACCAGGACACUUUGGCUGCGUCCCACAUUUAGGUGGAAGGCCUAUAAAUACGAUGACCCUCGAGGACCAGGAGAAUUCCUCGGCAGGUCGGCGAACGUGCAUGAGACACACAUUACAAAAAGCUGGCGCUCACAACGAACCCCGGGUCACACGGAGGUGCCCAGGCUCUCUUGGGUCGGGGCCUAUCUGCAGCAUGUUCCGUGUUUUCUUGCAUUACUCUGUGUUUUGAAUUCAUUUGAGUCAGCAGUAAAAACAGGCAAACAAA